rnacentral:rRNA from 1 species
UACGUAGGGGGCUAGCGUUGUCCGGAAUCAUUGGGCGUAAAGCGCGCGUAGGCGGCCAGAUAAGUCCGGUGUGAAAGUCACAGGCUCAACCUGUGAAUGCCGCUGGUAACUGUCUGGCUCGAGUCCGGGAGGGGCGAGUGGAAUUCCUGGUGUAGCGGUGAAAUGCGCAGAUAUCAGGAGGAACACCAAUGGCGAAGGCAGCUCGCUGGAACGGUACUGACGCUGAGGCGCGAAAGCGUGGGGAGCGAACAGG